GACGAACGCUGGCGGCGUGCCUAAUACAUGCAAGUAGAACGCUGAAGGAGGAGCUUGCUUCUCUGGAUGAGUUGCGAACGGGUGAGUAACGCGUAGGUAACCUGCCUGGUAGCGGGGGAUAACUAUUGGAAACGAUAGCUAAUACCGCAUAAUAGUAGAUGUUGCAUGACAUUUGCUUAAAAGGUGCAAUUGCAUCACUACCAGAUGGACCUGCGUUGUAUUAGCUAGUUGGUGGGGUAACGGCUCACCAAGGCGACGAUACAUAGCCGACCUGAUAGGGUGAUCGGCCACACUGGGACUGAGACACGGCCCAGACUCCUACGGGAGGCAGCAGUAGGGAAUCUUCGGCAAUGGACGGAAGUCUGACCGAGCAACGCCGCGUGAGUGAAGAAGGUUUUCGGAUCGUAAAGCUCUGUUGUAAGAGAAGAACGAGUGUGAGAGUGGAAAGUUCACACUGUGACGGUAUCUUACCAGAAAGGGACGGCUAACUACGUG
rnacentral:rRNA from 1 species